GACCGCAUAACGCAGUGUAUUAGCACGUCUGACUUUGGAUUAGAAGGUUGUGGGUUCGACUCCCACUGUGGUCG